UUACGGCCUUAUCAUGUUGAAACACCAGGUUCCUCUACAAUCCCAAAGUUAAGCAACGUCGAGCCUGAUCAGUACCUAGAUGGGUGACUGCUUGGGAAUACCAGAUGCU
rnacentral:rRNA from 1 species